UCGCGGCCUAUCAGCUUGUUGGUGAGGUAAUGGCUCACCAAGGCGACGACGGGUAGCCGGCCUGAGAGGGUGACCGGCCACACUGGGACUGAGACACGGCCCAGACUCCUACGGGAGGCAGCAGUGGGGAAUAUUGCACAAUGGGCGAAAGCCUGAUGCAGCGACGCCGCGUGAGGGAUGACGGCCUUCGGGUUGUAAACCUCUUUCAGUAGGGAAGAAGCGAAAGUGACGGUACCUGCAGAAGAAGCGCCGGCUAACUACGUGCCAGCAGCCGCGGUAAUACGUAGGGCGCAAGCGUUAUCCGGAAUUAUUGGGCGUAAAGAGCUCGUAGGCGGUUUGUCGCGUCUAUCGUGAAAGUCCGAGGCUCAACCUCGGAUCUGCGGUGGGUACGGGCAGACUAGAGUGAUGUAGGGGAGACUGGAAUUCCUGGUGUAGCGGUGAAAUGCGCAGAUAUCAGGAGGAACACCGAUGGCGAAGGCAGGUCUCUGGGCAUUAACUGACGCUGAGGAGCGAAAGCAUGGGGAGCGAACAGGAUUAGAUACCCUGGUAGUCCAUGCCGUAAACGUUGGGCACUAGGUGUGGGGGACAUUCCACGUUUUCCGCGCCGUAGCUAACGCAUUAAGUGCCCCGCCUGGGGAGUACGGCCGCAAGGCUAAAACUCAAAGGAAUUGACGGGGGCCCGCACAAGCGGCGGAGCAUGCGGAUUAAUUCGAUGCAACGCGAAGAACCUUACCAAGGCUUGACAUGUGCCAGACCGCCGUGAAACACGGUUUCCCCUUUGGGGCUGGUUCACAGGUGGUGCAUGGUUGUCGUCAGCUCGUGUCGUGAGAUGUUGGGUUAAGUCCCGCAACGAGCGCAACCCUCGUUCUAUGUUGCCAGCACGUGAUGGUGGGGACUCAUAGGAGAUUGCCGGGGUCAACUCGGAGGAAGGUGGGGACGACGUCAGAUCAUCAUGCCCCUUAUGUCUUGGGCUUCACGCAUGCUACAAUGGCCGGUACAAUGGGUUGCGAUACUGUGAGGUGGAGCUAAUCCCA
rnacentral:rRNA from 1 species